rnacentral:rRNA from 1 species
UACGUAGGGUGCGAGCGUUUGUCCGGAAUUAUUGGGCGUAAAGAGCUUGUAGGCGGUUUGUCGCGUCUGCUGUGAAAAUCCGGGGCUCAACCCCGGACUUGCAGUGGGUACGGGCAGACUAGAGUGUGGGUAGGGGAGACGUGGAAUUCCGUGGUGUAGCGGUGGAAUGCGCAGAUAGUCAGGGAGGAACACCGGUGGCGAAGGCGGGUCUCUGGGCGAGUAAACUGACGC